UUGAAGAUUGUUUUUUACUCUCAGUGAGCUCGUUUAUUUGAGUUUUUAUAAAUGUAUUGUUUCAUAUUCACAUUAAAUGCAUCUCUGCAUAUACAAGUAAAAAGCAGCGUAGUACCAACCAAGCUCAAACACCCAUCUGAGUUCAUUGACACUAAGAAGCUACAAAAUGGGUUCUUAGCAAGCAACCUCCUCACUCUCCCCUCCCACAUCUACCGAAUAAGCUUCAGCGAUGAUGCCCAGCCUCUCUCAGAGCCUUGCUAGUGCACAGCAGCUGUUAAAGAAAAAAGUUGAGAGCCAGGGUUAAAAUUUCAAAUGCUUGUAGGAGUCAGGAAAGAAAAGUAGAGGAGUAAAGGGAGCCCAGUGUUAGGCAUUAAGGAA